rnacentral:rRNA from 1 species
UACGGAGGUGGCAAGCGUUGCUCGGAAUCACUGGGCGUAAAGGGCGCGUAGGCGGGGAGGUAAGUCGGGUGUGAAAUCCCUCGGCCCAACCGAGGAACUGCGCCCGAGACUGCUUCUCUUGAGUCCCGGAGAGGAAGGUGGAAUUCCCGGUGUAGCGGUGAAAUGUGUAGAGAUCGGGAGGAACACCGGUGGCGAAGGCGGCCUUCUGGACGGUGACUGACGCUGAGGAGCGAAAGCCAGGGGAGCAAACGGG